rnacentral:lncRNA from 1 species
CUGUUAGAUGUAUGCCCUAAAGCCAACUAGGCCGACACAUAUAUUCUUUCUAGAACAUAAAUUUGUAUUUGACUUUAAAAUAUCAUGAAUAAUUUUAGAUUUUUAUUUCCAUUCAUGUUGUGUAUGUGUCCAUGAAUCGUCCAAGAAAUUAAUAAGAUGAUGACAUAUAUUCUCAAGAGUUGAGAAUUUGAGAUAUGUGUCAUUGGUAGUUAAUUCCUAAAUGCUCCCGAUCAAUGGAUAAUCACAGGGACGGUAAUUGUUCCGGUGAGAUUGGUGCAUAGGUCGCUUCCCUUUCGGGUAGACGGGUCUCGAGUCGACAGUGUGGGGACACUGAAGCGAACAUGCAGGUGGUUGUUAGAGAACAAGGGUACCGAACGUGACGAACACGAGAAGUCACUUGAAUGUCUACUCACUCGUCAGUGACUUACUCAAUGUUGCAGUAGUGUGAUUGGUCCUUUGACCUUCGGUGCCUCGACUAUUCACAAUGAGGUUAUUGUAGUUUGACUGUACAUACACUUGGUCCCUAGCGAUUCGGGUCCUUGCGGUGCAUGUUGGCUGCAGUAGGUUCAUUGUAGGAAUAGGGUGCCCACUUAGAUGGAAUCUAUCUUCCUUGGUAGAUAGGGGUGUUAGUCCUAUGUGAUUUAUGAGACCGAGUUUAGAAAAUCUUGGCCAAGGUAGUGUUAAUAGUGAAAAAGGGUUUCCGAUAUUAGAAACUCGAGUAGAAUAAAUUUAACAUAUGACAGACGAUGGGGUUUGACGAGUUAUUCCAUAACCUCCGUCUAGUCGGGAUUCAUGAUAGAAGGAUUGUAUCACAUGGUAACUGCAUCAAGAGGUUUAGUAUUCCAUUCUACUGGAAUGCCACUAUAUGCUGCGAGACGUCACUGGUGGAUUGUGAGACUCAUGAGAAUUAUCUAGAUGAUCGAUAACUCUCAUUGAGUUGCGUUGGAAUUGUUCUGAUCCACUGAAAGGAGUUUCAGUGAUAUUAUUGAUAGUGAUCAAAAUAUAUCUCACUACCAGAUAGAAUAAAACCUAUGGUGUCACACACAUAAGAGGUUGUGAUUGAUUGGAUAGCUAGAUCGCGAUUAUUGAAUCGCCGGAGGACCUAAUUGUCAAUAUGUUGAUAAUUGGACUAAUUUGUAAUUGUUACAAAUUAGUAAUAUUAAAGUGUAAAUGUUACAAGAGAGGACUUACUAAUAGUUAGUAAAUUAUAAGAGGACUUAUGUGCAAAUAUUGCAUUAUUAAUUUGAUAUGAUCAAAUUAAUAUAAAGUUUAAGUCGAAUCAAAUUAGGAUUUGAUCGAUCUAACCAAUUAAGGAAAGGAUAAAUUUAAAUCUUGAUUUAUACUUAUCCUUAAUGGUUAUUAUAUUAUUAAAAAAAAAGAUUAUAUUCCUCUAUAUAAUAAUACGAGAGUUUUUAGAAAAUCCUAGCCGUCAUCUCUCUUCUCCUCUCUCUUCCAUAUUCUAACAAAAAGACGUCCUUUGCAAGGGAGCUAGCACCCCGGUGAGGAUAUCGAUCAAAUCAAGAACCUCGUGUGGAUACCUAUAGAGGCCGGAUGUAUGUGUGGCUUCAAGAGAAUCCUAUUCCACGAUCAUCAAAUUGAGGCGAAGAUUUAUCCACGAAAAAAGUAAAGAUUCGUUUUUGCUUUUCUCUUUUAAUCUUAAAGAAAAUGAGGGAUCCUAAUUGCGUGGUUUUUGAGAUUGGAUCUCGAGAGUUUUCAAAAUCAAAUUUGUUUAAUUUUUUUUUCCGCUGCGUUUUUACUGUACGCAAUUUUCUAACAGAGGCUUGUUCAUCCGUAGAUAGUCUGUGGAGCGACUGCAGUGGUAAAUGGGGGGCUAUCUAGCUAGAGCGGAAUAGAAGAAUUUUCGAGAACAGAAAACUAACAGUGAGACUGGUGUUGACGAAA